GCUCAGAACGAACGCUGGCGGCGUGCCUAACACAUGCAAGUCGAGCGAGAAAGUCCUCGCAAGGGGAUGAGUAAAGCGGCGAACGGGUGAGUAACACGUGGGCAACCUGCCCUUCAGUCAGGAAUAACCCCGCGAAAGCGGGGCUAAUACCAGAUGAUACCCCCUGGGGGCAUCUUCGGGGGAUCAAAGGGGGCGAGCGUAAGCAGCUCUCGCUGAAGGAUGGGCCUGCGGCUGAUUAGCUAGUUGGUGGGGUAACGGCCUACCAAGGCAACGAUCAGUAGCCGACCUGAGAGGGUGACCGGCCACACUGGGACUGAGACACGGCCCAGACUCCUACGGGAGGCGGCAGUGGGGAAUAUUGCGCAAUGGGCGAAAGCCUGACGCAGCGACGCCGCGUGGGUGAUGAAGGCCUUCGGGUCGUAAAACCCUGUCGGGUGGAACGAAUCUCCGCCCCCUAAAUAGGGGGGCGGAUUGACGGUACCACCGAAGGAAGCCCCGGCUAACUACGUGCCAGCAGCCGCGGUAAUACGUAGGGGGCGAGCGUUGUUCGGAUUUACUGGGCGUAAAGAGCGCGUAGGUGGUUCGAUCAGUCGGAGGUGAAAGCCCUCGGCUUAACCGAGGAUCCGCGUCCGAUACUAUCGAACUUGAGUGCAGGAGAGGAGAGCGGAAUUCCCAGUGUAGCGGUGAAAUGCGUAGAUAUUGGGAGGAACACCGGUGGCGAAGGCGGCUCUCUGGACUGCUACUGACACUGAGGCGCGAAAGCUAGGGGAGCAAACGGGAUUAGAUACCCCGGUAGUCCUAGCCGUAAACGAUGGGCACUAGGUGUGGGAGGUAUCGACCCCUUCCGUGCCCGCAGCUAACGCAUUAAGUGCC
rnacentral:rRNA from 1 species